CAACAGUGUAUGCUAAAGUUGUUGCGGUUAAAAAGCUCGUAGUUGGAUUUCUGCUGAGGCCGACCGGUCCGCCCUCUGGGUGAGUAUCUGGCUCGGCCUUGGCAUCUUCUUGGGGAACGUAACUGCACUUGACUGUGUGGUGCGGUAUCCAGGACUUUUACUUUGAGGAAAUUAGAGUGUUUCAAGCGAGGCGCACGCCUUAGAAUACAUUAGCAUGGAAAUAAAUAAGAGUACGGACCGUUUGGUUCUUAUUUUGGUUUGGUUUCUAGAGCUGAGGUAAUGAUUAAUAGGGAUAGGUUGGGGGCAUUCGUAUUUAACUGUCA
rnacentral:rRNA from 1 species